GAGAGAGAAACUCAAAAGGUCAGAGUGUUAAUUUGUCGAAUUAAAAGUUGUGGGUUCAAGUCCCAUCUCUCUCG
rnacentral:tRNA from 1 species